UCACGUGCGGCUGAUGACCACGCUGCGGCUGAGGCGCUGUGAUUGCUCAGUCUCAAAGUAAACGCUCUGACGCACUGUGG
ensembl:snoRNA SNORD105B small nucleolar RNA, C/D box 105B